rnacentral:lncRNA from 1 species
CUGUGACUGUCAUUUGAAGUCACUGCUUUUGGGGAUUGUUGGUUAUAGAUAGUAGGUAACCAAAAUAGCAAGGAAUGCUGCAGAUGGAUGUCAGGCUGAAAAUCUCAGAGGCAACAUACGUACGAUCAAGUAUCAGCAAUUUCAAUGUAAAUGACAUGGAAAGUAAAAAUACAUAAAUUAAUAAAUAAAUGAAGAAAAUAAAGGAGAGAGGACAGGAAAUCAGAAGACAGACUUUUGGAGAUGGAGAAAUGAGUAAGUGGAGGUGGGAGAAAAAAGAGCAAAGAAAGGGAAGGUACUUCAUAAAUUCCAAGAAGAGAAAUGUAUUCAGGAACAUAAUAUUGAAGUGACACCUGCCAUUAAAGAAUCAGUGUUAGAUUGACAAGCAUUCCCUUCAAGGAGGAAGUCAGCAAGUAUCCCUGGGCUCUAUGCCAACAGAAAAGAUAAUGACAGAGAGUGCUGUUGGAGUUUACAGAGAAAGAGUUCUUUUGGAAAAGCAAAGAGAUUAUUAAAUGGAAGAUAGAAUUCUAAAUUCACAGACAAUGGGCAUCUAAACUUUGCUCCAUGCUGGAUCUGGGGGAAAUGU